UACGAAGGGGCUAGCGUUGCUCGGAAUCACUGGGCGUAAAGCGCACGUAGGCGGCUUUCUAAGUCAGGGGUGAAAUCCUGGAGCUCAACUCCAGAACUGCCUUUGAUACUGGCGAUCUUGAGUCCGGGAGAGGUGAGUGGAACUGCGAGUGUAGAGGUGAAAUUCGUAGAUAUUCGCAAGAACACCAGUGGCGAAGGCGGCUCACUGGCCCGGUACUGACGCUGAGGUGCGAAAGCGUGGGGAGCAAACAG
rnacentral:rRNA from 1 species